AUGGUUCAAACAGAUAGGCACACACAUUUUCCGUUGGUAUAUCGUCUCAUUGAAUUGGCCUUGAUUCUCCCCGUCACAACGGCAACCGUAGAAAAAGCUUUCUCAGCUAUGAGCAUUGUCAAAACUGAUCUGCGAAACAAGAUGAAUGAUGAAUGGAUGUAG
rnacentral:rRNA from 1 species